rnacentral:lncRNA from 1 species
UGACAUAUUCGAUGGAGUCAUGGUACAUGGUAGGCCAGUAAUAGCCUUGUCAGAGCAACUUGUGGGAUAAAGAUCUGGUCUCCAGGUGAUUUCCGCAGACCCCCUCGUGUACCUCCCGCAAGGUGAAGUCAGCCUCAGAAGGUCGAAGACAUCUCAAAAGGGGUAGAGAGUACGACCUCUUGUACAGCUUGCCUUCAUAAAGAAUAUAUCGGGAGGCCUGGUUCCUAAGCUUCCAAGUUUCUUUUGCAUC